rnacentral:rRNA from 1 species
AUUGAACGCUGGCGGCAGGCCUAACACAUGCAAGUCGAACGAGUGGCGGACGGGUGAGUAAUGUCUGGGAAACUGCCUGAUGGAGGGGGAUAACUACUGGAAACGGUAGCUAAUACCGCAUACCAUCAGAUGUGCCCAGAUGGGAUUAGCUAGUUGGUGGGGUAACGGCUCACCAAGGCGACGAUCCCUAGCUGGUCUGAGAGGAUGACCACCCAAACUGGAACUGAGCCACGGUCCAGACCCCUACGGGAGGCAGCAGUGGGGAAUAUUGCGCAAUGGCGGAAAGCCUGCUGCAGCAAUUCAGCGGGUAUGAAGAAGGCCUUCGGGUUGUAAAGUACUUUCAGCGUGGAGGCGUUACCCGCAGAAGAAGCACCGGCUAACUCCGUGCCAGCAGCCGCGGUAAUAC